rnacentral:lncRNA from 1 species
GGGGACGGGAGAGGGGGAGGGGGAGGGGAGAGGGCUCUUCCUGUGUGGUAUUUGCACGUUGCUGGGGAACGUGCUGCUUCCACGUUUCCAGCAAUAACAAGGCACAUUUGCUGCUGCAGGUUCAUUAACGAGGCCUGCGGGAAUGAGGAUUGGCUUGUCCACCGUGUUCACUGGACGGUAGGAAAAAAGAAAAGUCAGAAAAGGGAGAGCGAUGUUCAAGUUCAUGCUCAACUGUGGCUACUUCUCUGAACCCAAGAGGCCACCAGCCCCUAGCUGCCUUGGCCAUUGCUGGGGUGGGCAUUAACUGGGAUCUUGAGCCCCCGUUUCUGCUGAUGGUCGACAACUUAAACUUGCCAAGUCAAGGGUCACCUGGGCUGGAGUGCAGUGGUGUGGUGGUGCAAUCGCAGCUCACUGCAGCCUCGACUUUCUGGGCUCAAGCCAUCCUCCUGCCUGACUCUCCUGAGUAGCUGGGACUACAGACUCGUGCCACCAUGCCUGGCU